UAUGGCUAUAUCACGUUAAAACACGGGUUCCCGUACAAUCACUGAAGUUAAGCAACGUCGAUCCUGGACAGUACCUAGAUGGAUGACCGUUUUGGAAUACCAGGUGCU